UCCGCCCACAUGAGAGAGAGAAUAUAAAAGGCCCUGGAAGCCUCUCCAUUUUGUCUUCAGCUGGCUCAAGAGAUGGCCUCUCCACCAUAAAGAGAUGCCUGAAAGAAACUGGAACAAAGGACUCUGUCUACGGGGGUGUGAGUAUUUGCUGGACCCAGGCUAUAAACCACAACAUUAGUCUAAAAAGGAUUGGGCCCAGACCAGGAAAGAGUCUAGUCUGUAAAAGAAGCUUAUUGGGACAUCUCUGAAGGUGAGAUUUGCCUGUAUUCAAUUUCCUACUGUAUUAUGCUUAGACUUGCCUUGUUUGUUUUAUUUUGUUUGGUAACUUACUUUCUUCUGUCUGUUCUUACUUGGAACCACUUAAAUCCUACUUUUUAUACUUAAUAAAAUCACUUUUGCUUAUUAAUUAA